rnacentral:other from 1 species
UUUAUCCUGGGGUGUGCGCCACGGCCUCUGCUUUUACCCACAUCUUCACAAAAGGAUUCCGGGUCGGUUUGCGGAUGUCAGGCCCCCAUAGUCAGGGGAAGGCAGCAAGCAGCCGCAGGUCUCCGCCCUGCCUGAGCGGCGGGUGAAAAAGCAGGGUCGAACGGCACUCAUGGGAUAACU